rnacentral:snRNA from 1 species
ACAACUGCCAAUAUCACA